rnacentral:rRNA from 1 species
UACGUAGGGGGCAAGCGUUGUCCGGAUUUAUUGGGCGUAAAGCGCUCGCAGGUGGUUCGUCGCGUCGUGCGUGAAAGACCCCGGCUCAACUGUGGGCGUGCGGGCGAUACGGGCAGACUGGAGUACUGCAGGGGAGACUGGAAUUCCUGGUGUAGCGGUGGAAUGCGCAGAUAUCAGGAGGAACACCGGUGGCGAAGGCGGGUCUCUGGGCAGUAACUGACGCUGAGGAGCGAAAGCGUGGGGAGCGAACAGG